CUCUAGUUCUAGCUUGUUGCUGAAUACAUACAGCUGACUGGAGUGGGCUUCUGCCUUCUGCUGGGACUGGGAAUAAAAUGGUGUGAUUCCCUGCCAAUUUCAUCUAUCUAGUCUCCAUCCAUCCAUCCAUCUGUCUAUCCAGAGCCAAAGUCCACAGUAUGGUGCUUGAGGGGCCUAGGAGAAUAUCACACAGAGCCUACACAUGAGGCUUGCAGGUCGAGUACUCGAGUCUCCAUGGCUUCAUCCAACCUUGGCAUGCCAAGGGAGGGGAAUGAGUGAGGCCUUUGGACUUUGGUAUUACUCCCUAGUACCUAAAUUUCAUUUCUUUUCGCCAUUGGUGGCUGUGGGUGGUGCAAGUUCAACUACUUAUGUUUACACUGACAAAUUUAAUUUAUUGCAAAGUGUAAUUUUGUGCCAACAAAGUCCUAAACUACUUCAUGCAUCAUAAACAUUUUGUUUGCAUUUAUAUAUGUACAUCUAAAAUGGUUCUCAUCUCUGACUUUACAGCACAAUAAAUAAGUAAUAAAUAAAUAAGAAUAGAUAACCGUUGGGUAGUAGGAGGAGUAAGUGGUGGUGUGGUGACAACAAAAAAGAAGGGCAGGCACGCCGUCCCCUUCCCACCUCUAUAAAAUCCAGCUUCUCCCCCUUCUAGCUUCUACCUCACUCUUCCACUGUUCUCCCCACCUUAGCCGCCCACAUGCCUUUAGCAGCUUCUCCAGCCUCCUAUUCUCUUGGUGCUCAUCACCAAGAUUUGCUCAGUCCUGCUUCCAGGUCAGCUGUUUCUGCUGGCUCAGCCGUCUCCCCCGACGCCGAUCGAUCUCCAUCGAGCUUCUGAUGUGGAAAUUGUGGACGCCAUGGAGCUACCUCGGCGGGAACCAGGUUUGGUCGACGAUCGGCUAGCUCGUGUGUGCCUGGCUCCCUGUAUGCCACACAUGUAGCCCAACCCGUGGCGCGAUUGGAUGCUGUGGGUGGCGUGCAAGGAGCCAAGCAUGCAGAACACAGGCCAUGAUCAUCUCCUCCCAAUCUUCUGAUCUGCUAGUUUUUUGGGUCAUCUUGGAGAUACUGAUGCACAUAUUUCAUGCUGUUUUAUCCGUAUGCUUUCCUGUGCCUGCCCGGUUUUGAAUUGUUUCUGCAGAGGGGCAGAAUCAAGGAUUCAAUUCAGAAAGAAAGGUGGGUUGUUCCUCUUCAAGCUUGACCCAAAUCAUUCAGAGAGAGUUUGCAAAUCUCGUCAUUUCUUAUCCUAAAAAUGAAUGACACAUCUACUACUCUCGUGCUUCGUGGCCUCGAACUUGCUGAUUCUGAGUGUAAAUUUGUUUGAUUUCCCUUGAGUUCAUAGAAACAGGGCUAAGGAAAACAUUGAAACUUUGUUGGAACCGAAGCGCCGCCCCGUUCUUUGGUAGAUGUGUUGUCCAUUUGAUCACCGAUCUGAAUUAGAAAUUAGAGUUCUUUGCCUGUGCUUGUUUGAACUUAUUUUUGGGGUCUCAACCAUGUCGCCGGCCGGAAAUUUGUAGGUGUGCAAGCCAUUUUUGUAUUUUAGUUCUUGAGUUCUCGUCUGGAUUAGUGUGCAACUGAAGCGGAUGUAGCUGUCUUUCAUUUUGGGAAAACUGACACAUCCUUAAAACUUCGGCAGGAAAUGGCCAGCAGGUGUUAAUAGGUGCAACUGUGCAAGCUUCGGUUACUACUCACCAAUAAUCUGUUUGACUGAAACGGAUGUAAGCUGGACCUUCAUUAGUCCAGCUAUAUAUAUAUCCUUUUGUGCUCAAAUUAAAUACAGUAUUUCCAACUGUUCUUAAAUCAUAAAGUUUCCUCGUUCUUAUCAUAUGCUUCACAACUUUGCUUUUCCAUGAAAGUAUAGACCAUGUCUUUCGGUCUGUUCGGCUGAUCUAGUGAAUAGUAUUCGACUGAUAGAAUGAAUAGUAUUAUGUGAGAGGGGAUAAGCCGAGACAAGCCGAGAUUGGAUCAGCCGAACAACCCCUUUGUAGAAAUAACCCUUCUCUCUCCCUUUGGAUUGAAUUUAUGUGUAAACUCCUGAUAAUUUAUAAAUGGUAACCCAAACAAUAUAUAUAACUGUAGUGUAUAGUACCGGUAGGUUUUAACUAUCGAUAUGCUUUUUACUAGCUUGUAGUGACAAUCGUUCCCACAUAUAAGUUGGCGCUGUCUUUUCAAGUAUUCAAAAUCAUGCAAACAAACGUACACUAUUUGAAACAAAUGCAAACAAAUCAACAGUUUCAAAUCACAAAUGUAUAAGAUUUCCACUUUUAUAUAUGCUAAGUUAUGUUGCAAUGUACUGUGGUUUUCCAUGUUUGUACCAUGAUGAUUUUUUUUAGUAGUACCAUGAUGAUUAUUGAUACUUCCAUACAUCAAACUAAACCGUCGGUCUACGACAUAAACCACAUUGAGUUUUGUCUUGCCACCAUUACUUCUUUCUGCUCACAAAACAAGAGAGGCAUAUGCAUCCAUGUGUAUACAGAACAAUACUGUAUAUAUUUGUUUGUAUCUUUUUCUUCGAUCCAUCUUAGUAGAUGUUGUAGUGUGGACGUGGUAGCACAUGUUCUAAGUUUGUCUGGUAUAUUAUCCAAUAUAAUGGUACUCCCUGGUAAGACAGCUGAACAUACAGCCCUUUGUUUUGUAUCUUAGGCAAAAUGCUGAAUCAGAUUUAGACACUUUGUACAGUAAUAGGACCUGUUUAAGUGUUAAAUCGCUAAUGGAACAACAAAGGGUUUGCACUUUUUCAGGAAGAGGUGCCUUUUGGGACUUGAAGGAAUAAAGAGCAAAGCUACCUUUAGAGCAGCGAAGUACGGGGUACGUACUGAAACCGAUACCCCCAGACGACAGUCGACACAGGUAGAUUCUGCAGUAUCUGUAUUCUGCGUCAGACUCAAAUUCGUACACCUUGUUGGGGAAAGAAGAUCAGGUUCAGACGACGAUCUCUAAGCAUCUCUCUGCUAUCCAAGAAUCCCUAGUGAUCCUGGAUUGAAGGAAUUGAGUUUGAAGUUAACCAAGGUUCUCCCAGAGCAGCAUAUGCAUGAAGAAGUCUCGUGACAGUGUUGUGUUGAGUAGUACUGCAAGCAAAGUUUGGAGCUGAAGUGCAGGGAAGUAUGCCUCUGUUCAUGACAUGACAAUGUGUACAUAUUAAUAUCUGAAGGGAGGUGUAUUCUCGUCU